UUGUUAUGAGACAGUCUUAUGGGACAAUAUCUAGAGGACUUUCAAUGUGACAGUUUUUAAAAGAAACCCUGACAUUUUUGUGGGUUCAGUGUUCAGGGCUCAGUGCUCUUGUGACUGAUGAGCAAUCUCUUUCAUCAGUGCAAGACUUUGUGAUAAAAUCUUACUCAACUUCUGUGUCUGUUAUCUUAAAGUCUACCACACCUGGCACUAUAGUCUGUGGCCUAUUUCUCUUGACAUACUAUUAAAAGUCAAGAUAUAUUCAUUGUUUCAUUUUGCCUCACGGCCCCCAAGCCCCACCUUCCACAGGCAAAGGAGAUUGUCUUUUAGGCCUAGGAGCCAAUGAAAGUGAUCCAGUACUUGGUUUGUUCCAAGUCUGGGAAAGUUCCUCCUGCCCCAGAGCUGGCAUCGAAAUUGCAAAAGGUGGUUCCCCGAGACAAAUGUGGAGCUGGUUUCAAAUCUUCUCUGUGACCUGGUGUGCCUGAUGAGGACCAAAGAGAAAAACUGCUACUUGGACCUUCAAAUUUUCUGACUCCAAACCCGAGGCAAAACAAUUCUCCACACUUUAAUUUGAUAAAGGAUGUGCUAAACCAAAGGUCCCAACUUGAAAAGGUAAAACCAAAAAAGUUUUUCAACUUUGAAAUGUUGGCAAAGACCCCCUGGUAAGGUGUCUGUUUCAUAACCAAAGAUCAUGAGAUUCAAACCCCAUCCAUGCCUGGCCCUAGAAAGUACAAAUUCACAGGAGAGGUGUUCUAGCAAGUGACUAAAAACACAGGCUUGGCAGCCAAACAGGUUUGUGUUUAAAUCCUGGCCUUGUCACUAAAACCAAAUGUCCUUGAGGAAACUGCUUAGCUAAAACCUUAGUUUUGUUAUCAGUCAAAUGGAGAUGUUAAUGGUACCCGUUUCUUAGUGUUGUUGAAGAGAUUAAAUGAGAUAAUCAAUGAUGCCAAAGGAGAAGAAGACAAAUGGAGCUCUGGAAGAAUGAUUAAUCUCUCCCAGAAAGUGGCUAGCAUCCUCUCUGAUACAUGGGCCCUCAGCCAUGGGGACCAACUGAUGAUAUUCCUGCCCCCAGCACCAGAAACCUACUGGAGCUGCCUGGCCUGGGUGCGACUGGGUAAGACAUGGGAGAGGAGCCCCUGGGACAGAGGCUCCUAUGGGAUUCCAGUCUCAGUCAUUCACAGAAUGGAGAGAUGGUAAAAGGAUGUCCAUCUGAUGCCUGAAUUCUUCCCAUUGUGUGGGGGUCUAUAAACAGGCCUAAGGUUUCAUCUCAGCUCCACGAACUGCCACUUUUGUAAUAUCAUCCCUCUCUGAGCCUCAGUUUCCUUAUUUGUGAAAUGGGCACAGUAAUAGAGUCAGACAUAUGUGUUUUUGUGAGAAUAAAACACAAAUUAUCCAUAGA